GGCGAGUGGCGAACGGGUGAGUAAUAUAUCGGAACGUACCCGGGAGUGGGGGAUAACGCCGCGAAAGCGGCGCUAAUACCGCAUACGAUCUGCGGAUGAAAGUGGGGGAUUCGCAAGGACCUCAUGCUCAUGGAGCGGCCGAUAUCUGAUUAGCUAGUUGGUGAGGUAAAGGCUCACCAAGGCCACGAUCAGUAGCUGGUCUGAGAGGACGACCAGCCACACUGGAACUGAGACACGGUCCAGACUCCUACGGGAGGCAGCAGUGGGGAAUUUUGGACAAUGGGCGCAAGCCUGAUCCAGCAAUGCCGCGUGAGUGAAGAAGGCCUUCGGGUUGUAAAGCUCUUUUGUCAGGGAAGAAACGGUGGGAGCUAAUAUCUCCUACUAAUGACGGUACCUGAAGAAUAAGCACCGGCUAACUACGUGCCAGCAGCCGCGGUAAUACGUAGGGUGCAAGCGUUAAUCGGAAUUACUGGGCGUAAAGCGUGCGCAGGCGGUUUUGUAAGUCUGUCGUGAAAGCCCCGGGCUCAACCUGGGAAUUGCGAUGGAG
rnacentral:rRNA from 1 species